UUUUCUUCUUUAUCUUCAAAACAGAAAACAUUUCAUUCCUAUUUUGGUACUCCUACAAAUUAGUGAAAGACCUUGUAAAGACUGCUGACUGCUGCAAUUCAGUGCUCACCAAAUCCUAUAAGCAGUUUAUAGUUUUUCUCUUUCCUUCUUUUUUCAUACAAACUUGAGCAAAUAUAUCCUCUUAAACUUACUUCACCCACGCGCAGUUAUGUCCUGUAACCUCCACAUUCCCAUAAACACCCAAUAAAUAAUCGCGUGCUGAAACACGAGAAAGAGAGAGCGUGAUAAUAUGAAGUCCUAAAAUGUUAAGUACGAAAAACACAAGAACAAAGAAGAGCCGACAUUUUCAAUUCUUGAUUCAAAAGAUGUGAUUUUUGGGGAAGAAGAUAAUUAAACAGAGGAGAAUUGAAAUGCAAAGAGAUGGAAGAGGACGCUUAUACAUGGGUGUUCAAGAAAUAAGUAAGAGUUGAAAAAACCUGUUUUUCUUAAUUAUUUGUGAAUCUGAAUUGUGUAUUAGUUAACUGAUGCUCCAAUAAGGUCAAGAGUGUUCCCUAUGUAUGUAUGAAUUCUUGAAGUUUAAUUUUAUUCAUGUAGAAAUGAAUUUGAACUUGAAGUUUGAAGCUUCAAGCGUUCAAAUUUUGGAAAAAGUUGGCAUUUUGGAUAUGUUUUAGGUAAUCUUGGCAGUUUGAAGUUAUUGAAUUGGGAAUAAAGUUGUGGGUUUUAGUUAGAGUUUCAGGGAGGCAUCUUAGCUGGAAAUGGAGGGCUAGAUGAGAUUUUAAGGUUGGACUUUUAGUAGGACUUGGGAUUUGAAGUUUUUCAAGAUUGGGUUUUUGGAGGGAGAGUUAGUUGAGAAUUUGGAUUUCUGGUGCUGACCUCAGCCCCUUUAAUUCUUAUACUGUUACAAAUUGGGAUUUUGGAGAUGGGAUUUGAUUUGGAAAAUGCAAAGAUUGAUAUUAGAGGGAUUCAAUGUAGUUCCCAGGUUGGUUUUUUGGAGUUUGGGGGGAAAACCCUAAUUUAGUGGUGGAAUUGGUUUCUGACCCUAAAGUUUGUUUUUGAGCAGG
rnacentral:lncRNA from 1 species